rnacentral:rRNA from 1 species
AGCGAACGCUGGCGGCAGGCCUAACACAUGCAAGUCGAACGGCAGCUCCGUAUGAGCUUGCUCUUACGGGUGUCGAGCGGCGGACGGGUGAGUUAUACACCGGAAUCUUCUCUUUCGUGGGGGCUAACGCCGGGUAACUUCCGCUAAUACCGCAUAUGUCCCACGGGUGUAAGCACGGGAUCUUUGGACCUUGUGCGAUUGUAUGAGCCGAUGUCGGAUUAGCUAGUUGGCGGGGUAAAGGCCCACCAAGGCGACGAUCCGAAGCUGGUAUGACGGGAAGGUCACCCAGAUGGGAACUGAGAAACGGUACAGACACCGAGGAGAAGAAGCAGUGGGGAAUAUUAGACAAUGGGGGCGAGCCUGAUACAGGCAUACCGCGUAGGUGAAGAAGGACUUCGGGUUGGAAAGCCAUUUUGUUGGGAGAGAAGAACAGCAGGUUAAUACGCCACGGUACUGACGGUACCGGAAGAAUAAGCACCGGCUAACUUCGUG